UGGGGCGUCGACAAGCUGGUAAGUCACCGGAUUUUGAUUCCGGCUACCGUUGGUUCGAAUCCAACCGCCCCAACCA
rnacentral:tRNA from 1 species